rnacentral:misc_RNA from 1 species
AGCCAUUGACAAAUUCCUGAACCUGAAUUAAAGCCGCAUAAAGGCAUUAAUCAAUUUGAGGAAGCAAUAAGGCUUUCUAUUGAGCCUUGAAGCUACUCUAUUUUUUUUCAACUUGAGGAAAUGGCCUCAGUAAUUAUUAUCAAAAUGCUAACAUAGCAACUACCAAUUCCCCAUUACCCCAAUAUUAAAUGAAAUAAAACAAGCACAAGAGCUUAAAGAGGGUACCUUAGUCGGAUUGUCACCAUAG